UACGAAGGGGGCUAGCGUUGUUCGGAUUUACUGGGCGUAAAGCGCACGUAGGCGGACUAUUAAGUCAGGGGUGAAAUCCCGGGGCUCAACCCCGGAACUGCCUUUGAUACUGGUAGUCUUGAGUUCGAGAGAGGUGAGUGGAAUUCCGAGUGUAGAGGUGAAAUUCGUAGAUAUUCGGAGGAACACCAGUGGCGAAGGCGGCUCACUGGCUCGAUACUGUCGCUGAGGUGCGAAAGCGUGGGGAGCAAACAGG
rnacentral:rRNA from 1 species